ACUGGGAGCACUGGGAGGGACUGGGAUAUUGGGACUGGGGGCACUGGGAGCACUGGGAGCACUGGGAGGGACUGGGGGGGACUGGGACAUACUGGGACUGGGGGCACUGGGAGCACUGGGGGGGACUGGGGGGCACUGGGAGCACUGGGAGCACUGGAAGGGAUAGGGAAACUGGGACCACUGGGAGGUACUGGGGGAGACUGGGACAUACUGGGACUGGGGGCGCUGGGAGCACUGGGAGGGACUGGGAUAUUGGGACUGGGGGAACUGGGAGCACUGGGGGUGGUGGGGGGCACUGGGAGCACUGGGAGGGAUGGGGAAACUGGGAGCACUGGGAGGGACUGGGAGGGACUGGGACAAACUGGGACUGGGGGCACUGGGAGCACUGGGAGGGACUGGGAGGUACUGGGAGCACUGGGAGCACUGGGAGGGAUGGGGAAACUGGGAGGGACUGGGGGUACUGGGGGAGACUGGGACAUACUGGGACUGGGGGCACUGGGAGCACUGGGAGGGAUGGGGAAACUGGGAGGGACUGGGGGUACUGGGGGAGACUGGGACAUACUGGGACUGGGGGCACUGGGAGCACUGGGAGGGACUGGGAGGGACUGGGACAUACUGGGACUGGGGGGACUGGGGGGUACUGGGAGGGACUGGGACAUACUGGGACUGGGAGCACUGGGGGCACUGGGAGGGACUGGGGGCACUGGGAUGGACUGGGACUGGGGGCACUGGGAGCACUGGGAGGGACUGGGGGGCACUGGGGGAGACUGGGACAUACUGGGACUGGGGGCACUGGGAGCACUGGGAGGGACUGGGAGGGACUGGGAGCACUGGGAGGGACUGGGAUGGACUGGGAUGGACUGGGGGGCACUGGGAGCACUGGGAGGGACGGGGAGGGACUGGGACAUACUGGGACUGGGGGCACUGGGAGCACUGGGGGGGACUGGGAGGGACUGGGAGCACCGGGAGGGACUGGGAGGGACUGGGA
rnacentral:lncRNA from 1 species